rnacentral:rRNA from 1 species
UACGGAGGGAGCUAGCGUUGUUCGGAAUUACUGGGCGUAAAGCGCACGUAGGCGGCGACUCAAGUCAGAGGUGAAAGCCCGGGGCUCAACCCCGGAACUGCCCUUGAAACUGCAGUGCUAGAAUCUUGGAGAGGCGAGUGGAAUUCCGAGUGUAGAGGUGAAAUUCGUAGAUAUUCGGAAGAACACCAGUGGCGAAGGCGACUCGCUGGACAAGUAUUGACGCUGAGGUGCGAAAGCGUGGGGAGCAAACAGG